GGAGGAGCAGCCGCAGCAGCCGGCGGUGCUACCUCAUCCACCAUGCUUUGCGCUGCCAUCCAUCUACAAGGUGAACAGGGAAAGAAGUCCAUAUAACCCCCUAAAGUUUCACAAACCGAUCAGUUUACCCCCCAAGGUCUAAAACGAGGUAUUUAACCCCCCAAGCUUUCCCAAACCAUGUGAAUUAUCCCCUAACCCUGAUUAGAGUGGUUUUGAAGGCGGUUUUGGCCCUCAUCCAAGCACGAGCCAGCAUCAUACAACUUGGGCGCAAUGCGUCAAUGCCUAAUAUUAAUUAGCAGUAGCUCGCCGAGUCACAAUCUUCUAGCUUCGUGAACUUCCCAGUCUCCAGGUCACCAUGCAGGCUUCACGAAGCUAGCAAUGUCUUCCACCCUCGCCAGACUUGAAAGACAUUCCUUCGGCCAGGCGAAGAUUGCAUCGCCGAAGCUACUUCUCCGGCCUAGCGCAUGCCGCCGGGGCUCACGGGAUCGGUCUAGCCGUCUGCACCGUUGGGCUCCUGCUGUGCGGAUGCGGCAGCCGCACCGGCGUGCAGCGCAACCAGCCAACAGACGCAAGUUCUGGCUUUAGCGACCCCUUGCUGUACGCACCGAUCAUGUGCGUCAAGGCUUUGUACUCAAGCUCUCCGUGGCAAAUAGGUGGAGCGGUCGAGGUAGUCGACAAGCAAGGCAUUGGCGCCGGAAGCGGCAAGGAGCCGGAGCGUCGCUCAUGAGACGCACCUUAUUUCUAGAACCCUCUUCCGGAUACAAUAUGCACAUACAGUCCUACUGGAUUGAUUCCAGGACAAGCAGUCAUGUACACGCAAGAAGUACGUACCACUAUGUCUGAGGCAGGUCAGACUAAUAUAAUCGUGAUUAGCUCUAACAGUGGACAUAGUUAUCUGCCGGCAGAAGCCACAGGCUGCUCAUGGCGCGAGCUUGAUGAGUUAUUGUCAACGGAGGAAGAAGCAGACGCGGCCGGCGAGAGCGCUACUGAGGCAACUACGGCACACGAGGGACGCGAUGGAAAACUGAGUUUGCAUCAAGCAAGAACACAGCCCUCGUGCCAGGGUGGAGAUGGCGUGCCACAUCACCAGAACCGCUUGCAAAACCACUCCAAUCAGUGUCAGGGGAUGAUUCGCAUGGUUUAGGAAAGCUCAGGGGGUUAAAUACCCGGUUUUAGAUCUCAGGGGGUAAAUUAGCCAGCUCGUGAAACGCCAGGGGGUCAUGUGGACUUCUUUCGGUGAACAGGAGAGGUGGAUUAUGAGGCACCAUCUUGGUUCUUGGGGCCGUCAGAUCCGGACUAUGCGCCUCCACUGGUCCAAGUCUGCCUUCUCCUCCAUCUAUACUACUAUUAAACAAUCAAAUUAGUAUUUCUUUAAGCACACCUCACAAAGCGUACACAGAUCCAAUACCACCGCACGAUUAGGCCCACAAAAUCAAUCUAACGGUUAACCUUAACCUAAACCAUUUUCUGUGUGCACUUAGCAAUUUACAUUGACUGACCGUACUCCACCGUGGAGGAAAAUAUGAAACUCCACGCCUGAGCAAUUAGGAAACUAAUAAUCACAGGUGCAUCCUAUUCUAAAAAACUAAAUCAGAGUGCAUCCAUCCUAUUAGGAAACUAAUCUCAGACAAAUCCAUCCUAUUAAAAAACUUAUCUCGGACGCAUCCAUCUUAUUAGGAAGCUAAUCGCGAACCGCCUACCGCCAUCAUGCAUGCUAGACACGAUGGGGGAAGCGCGAGGAGCUUCGUCUUCCUUCGGGAACACGCGUGCUAUCGCCGCCAUCGUCUUCUACCUGGAGGCCAGGCGCUCUUCUGCCGCUACUGCGACGACUCCAUCCACGUCUAGGGCAUGCUCUCCGGCAACCAUCGGCAUCCGCAUUGACUUCAGCUCCGUUCGCAGCACCCACGCCGACAAAGUGUCUGUUCAGUGGAUGCACGUGCAUUACAUAUUAAUCUAUACUUCUAUACUACUAUUAAACAAUCAAACAAGAACUUCUUUAAGCACACCCCACAAAGCGUACACAGAUCCAAUACCACCGCACGAUUAGACCCACUAAAAUCAAUCUAACGGUUAGCCUUAACCUAAACCAUUUUCUGUGUGCACUUAGCAAUUUACAUUGACUGACCGUACUCCACCGUGGAGGAAAAUAUGAAACUCCAUGCCUGAGCAAUUAGGAAACUAAUAAUCACUGGUGCAUCCUAUUCUAGGAAACUAAUCUCAGACAAAUCCAUCCUAUUAGGAAACUAAUCUCAGACAAAUCGAUCCUAUUAAAAAACUUAUCUCAGAUGCAUCCAUCCUAUUAGGAAGCUAAUGGCGAGCCACUUGCCGCCAUCAUGCAUGCUAGCCACGAUGGGGGAAGCAUGAGGAGCUUCAUCUUCCUCCGGGAACACACGUGCUAUCGCCGCCAUCGUCUUCUGCCUGGAGGCCAGGCGCUCUUUUGCCGCUACUACGACGACUCCAUCCACGUCCAGGGUAAGCUCUCCAGCAACCAUCGACAUCCGCGUUGACUUCAGCUCCGUUCGCAGCACCCACGCCGACAAAGUGUCUGUUCAGUGGGUGCACAUGCAUUAAAUAUUAAAUAAGAAUCAUGGGGCUUCAAGCAAUCUGGAAUUAUAGAUUUGGAAUUAUCUUAGGUUCCCGAUUGCUGUACUGAAAAUGUGGCACGUACAUAAGAAUGCAGCAAUCUUGUCUUACAAAAUAGGAUCAAGAGGGAUACUGAAGAAGUCAAGAUGCAGAGUCUAUUUCCCAUGAUUACUUCUCAUGUUCAUGUCGGCUUCCUUGGGCUUUACUUCGUACCACCAUAUGUAUUAAACUGGGCCGUAUCAAGAGGUAACGACAUCCCCUCGAUUAGAAUUGCCUUAUUUAUGCUAUUUGAUCAGUGUGUGUUUUACGUAUGACGUUGCUUUACCUAGAAUUAAGGUGGGUUGCACCUGCCUAGGCACUAUCUCCAGGGAUAGGUUGGAAAUCAGAAUAUAUGAUUCAUUCUUAGAGAAAAUUUUACACACAUCACUUUAACAUAAUUGCAUAGCAAUCCAGUACAUUAUGUAAGAUUCAGUAGGAGGCAAGAUAUUGAAGAUGUACUACUAUUUCAGUUACAUGAUUCUAUACAUCUAAAACGGGUCACAUGACUCUAUAGCUGUUGUUAGAGAAUAUCUCUCGCUGUUCUGUAAAGGUAUGCAAUCUCUACUGCGUUCCAAUAAAGAGAAUUUUACCAUACAAAAGGAUCCAAUGAAGAAACUAAUCCGGAUGAGUUCCAAUAAAUAGAUCCUUCAAAAGAUCUGUCCUAAUACAACUGCCGUAUAUUAGUACAAAGAAAUCAUAUAAAUUGUACUUGAUCAGAUUUAUUUUGUUUCAUGACAGAGAAACCAAAUACCUUUCGCUAUUUUGGCACAUAUAUUUAUUCUUAUAUACUUGUGCAAUUUCGAAUGAUCCAACAUAUCUGCAGUCAUCAAACUUGAAGACAUGUUGUUUAAGGCCUUAUUUGCACCACCUCUCUUUCUUUGUCUGCGCACCUCUUUCCUCCAAUAAUAAUCGCACCUCUUUCCUCCAAUAAUAAUAAUGAACAACUUUUUCCAUAUCAGGUAUUACACUGUUACAAAUGUAUAUUGAAGCUACUCCUUACGACAAGGAAAAAGAGGAUGAAUGCUUUCUAUCUUCAUCAGUUUUGUAGCAUGUUCCAAAUUGUUGUCUCUUUCUUAUUUAAGGAUUCAUCAUUUUUUUGUAAUUUAGAAGCUGACUUGAAAGCUUGAUAAGGUUAAGCUUGACAAAUACUCUAGAAUACUUUUCCUUCCAUCUUUAUUUUUUUUCAUAACUCAUUUCAGUUUCUAUACGUACAAAGCGUCUUACAUCAUUGUAAGUUAGUAUGGUUGCCAACGCAUAAACACAUACAAACCCGGAUAAAUAUUUUCUAUCAUGAUAAUUAUUGGAUUUCUUUUAGCCCUUUUACAUUUCAAUUAGUUCUUGUAAAUCAUCUUUAUUUCAUAUAGAAGUCGUUGUAGUCACAUAUCAUCUUCUAUUUCCUAUUAUCCAUAGUAGGUAGCUAUAUAAUUUUGGCAGUCCACACAACCAAAAAAUAUAUAUAAUUUGAUCCAAAUUAGUACAAAUAUAUAUUUUUCUAUGCAGAUUAGUAGAAUAAAAUAAGAUUCAAGAAUUAAGCAUCUUGAACAAUAUAAUUGCACCGUAAGGCAGUUUAUACUUUUUUUCCUGGCUACACUCGAAGAGAAGACUAUACUACAUGCCUAUAUUACUGGAUUAAUAAAUAAUUGCUGAUUUUAUUUAAAUGAGAAUAUUUUCCUGUUAUUAAUCUAUGUAGCAACAUAACCACUAUUGUGUCUCGCUUUUGAAAAUACAAUUUGAGCGACAUCAAACAUUGUGUAUCCAUUUGAUUUAUCUUUUUAAAAAUGUUUAUUUUUUUAUAUUAUGUGAAUUCACAACAGUUUGAGAUGUGCGUUGCACGUGCAUGCUUACUAGUCUUGUGUGGUUGCUCUGCUUGACUUCUUCCUCGUUGUGGGUGCUCAACAGGAGAAUCACGAGCAGCCGGUGCAACCGAGCGUCCGCCUGCUCUCAGCUUGGCUUCAGGUAUACAAUCACCCUUCUCUUCUUCCUGAUAUUUUCCUCUCCCUUUCUUCCAGUCCCCUACUCCCGCAGCUUCACAUCUUUGUUUGUGCAGGUUUGGUUCUCUUUGCCUACAAGGUGUUUGAUGAAAAUCCAAAAAGGCUGACAUGGGAGGAUUAAUCUAUGUAUGUCAUGUGAUUUCAUUCUUCUGUAAUUUAGUUCCAGUCAAAGAUAACAAGUUGAGUAGUCCGGCUAGCUUUUUGCGAUUUAGGUAUUGAAGGAGAUCAUUAUAUUUUACUUUUAUUUGCCUCAUGGAUUCUUAUUUAUAUUUAGGGCAUAACUUUAUUGUACAACAAUGACAGUGGGGAAGAUUAUCUCAUUUCUUUUGGAGGAUUUGGUUUAGUAGGCCAUUACGCAUGUUGGAAUGAGUAGCAAGUACAGAUACAAAAAUCUGAAGCUCCUACCAGAUAGGUCGAGUUAAAUGCUUUCUAAAUGCAAAUGAUCUCAUGAAAAAGGCAAUAUGUAAUCAUUUGUAUUGGUUCAGAUUAUUCAGAGUGGGUUACUGCUAAAGCAGAGGAUGGGUAGUCAAUAUUUACUUCUGUAUGUAAAUCCAUUUGCCUGUCAUUAUGUACAGUUACUGCUAAAUUGGAGGACAGGCAGUCAUUAUUUACUUAUUCAAAUGGAAAUCUAUUUGCCUGUUAUUAUGUGUAGGCAUAAAGUUCGAUCUUGGAUGCUUGGCAAAGCCUUACUAUGUUGUUUUCCUCUGUCACAGACUCCCAGAAACUAUAUGAUCCAUUACUAUGAGAAUAUUUGGCUAGCUCGUGGCUAUUGUUUGCGGAAUAAAGUCUUAUUGCUGUAAUAAAAAAGCCAUACUAUGUUGUUGUUCCAUUAUUCCAUUUUAAUGUGCUUGCCUUUUUUGGACUAGAUGUUGGACUACAGUGUACUGGGAGGUGAGGAGAUGAGUUUGAAGUACAUGUUUUCUUUCUAGGUAUACAAGAAGCUAAUGAGUUUGAACUUCAAUUUGUGAUCUACUUUACAAGAAAAAGUUUUCCCUCAUGAGUACAAAAUUUCUAUUUGUAGGAGCUUCAGAAGGGUUGCUCACCAACGGACUGUAAGAUUUCCUGGGUACUUGCAUAAUUUAGGAAGAAACUAAAUGCGCUAUUGCAGAUCAAAGGUGAGCUCAUCCUAUUUUCUUUCUUCAGUCUUAGCUGAAGAUUUAUCUCCGGUUUCCUUGCAUUUUGUCAUGCUGGUUCUUUGUGUAGAUGUGCCAGCUAGCUUACAAACCGUAUCAUCAUCUUUGUCUUUGAGUAGAACUAAACUGGGGAUUUGCUAUUUGCAUCUGAAGUGUCCUUUGAUGUCCUUUACUCUAUAGAAUUAUUGCCCUGAAACUGAUGAAAGGACUUUUGGAGAUAAAAUUAUUGAUUGUUAGGGCCUCGGUUUAUUAACUAUUCUAUAUUUUUAGAAACUGGAAGAGAAAUCAUAUGUUGUUUCUUCUUUGUGAUGAAACAGAUCAUGUGUAUGGUUUCGACUAAGACUGUAGUUUGAUCAUACAAGGCUUUAUGGAUUGUUGAUUCUAUUUCCAUGGUUUGAUCUAUCCGAGGUGUAGCCAAGAUCAGGUGAGAGGACAAUGUUUCAUUUGUUUCGACAGAAAACCCUAGACUUCAGCUCAAAGCCUGCCCCUAGCCCAGUGUUAAAAAAUUCAGUCAACCCGUAGCUAAAGUUGGAACCACGUAGAGCAGUGGCUACUCCGGAAACUCCUGUUCUGAUCACUUCCAGGUAAUUGGUUAGGAUUCAUAUGGUCUCUUUCCAGCUAUGACAGGUGGUAUACCGCAUACUGAUGAGGAUAGAUGAUUUAUGUUGCUGUACUAUUUUAGAUAGUGAUACUGAAGUGUUAUUCUACAGAUAGCUUUCGGUUGUUCUUUUGCAUUUUUCCUCUGCAAACAUAUAUAUUAAUGGACAAACAGUGCGUACAUGUUAGCCUUUUGUCCGCGAUAGCCGUAUUAGCAUGCCUAGCUGCCAAGUAUAAAUAGUAUGUGCGUCACUCAGAAAUAUAGCAUCCCGGUGGAAUAUGGAUGAUGUAAGAAUUGGGAAAUUGCUCUCAUAUUUGAUUUAUUGAUCUCCUAGAGUGUAGAGUGAAUCAUAUAUGUACUAGAGGUGCUAAUUCUGCUGCCUCCGUGGUCAAGUCCUCCCUUUCUUUAGGCUAGGCAGAGGUCUUAACUAUUGCAGUUUGUAUGUUCUGCAGUGGUCAAGUCCUCCCAUUUUUCGGGCUGGGAGGUCUUAGCUCUCGCAGUUUGUAUGAUCUGCAGCAUCCAUNNNNNNNNNNNNNNNNNNNNNNNNNNNNNNNNNNNNNNNNNNNNNNNNNNNNNNNNNNNNNNNNNNNNNNNNNNNNNNNNNNNNNNNNNNNNNNNNNNNNNNNNNNNNNNNNNNNNNNNNNNNNNNNNNNNNNNNNNNNNNNNNNNNNNNNNNNNNNNNNNNNNNNNNNNNNNNNNNNNNNNNNNNNNNNNNNNNNNNNNNNNNNNNNNNNNNNNNNNNNNNNNNNNNNNNNNNNNNNNNNNNNNNNNNNNNNNNCGGGCUAGGUAGAACCGCAGAAGUUUUAAGUGCACGUACCUAUGUGCCAUUGCACCUAUAAGCCUCGGUAAAAUAUGUCCAAAUCUAACAAAUAUUGCAGUUUAACCUCACCAUAAUACUAAUUAACAACGACUGUGAACUUCAAGGCAGACUUAUUACUACAGUUUUGGUACGCCAGAGAUUUUUUGUUGUGAUCUUUGCUUGGAAAGGGGAGAAGACCUACAUAUUAAAGACUCAGGACAAGGGCUGAUCUGCUGUGUUUCUAUGAUUAUGGAUUUCUAAAAUUCAUUUACCUAACAAUGGAACUAUGCAGUGCGAUCUUCUGUAGUUUACUAAACCUUACCAGCCCCCUUCGAGACGAUGUUCUGUCUCUUACAUUAAAAUCUAACAUAUAGUAAAAUGAGAAAAUUCCUGCCCCAAAACAAAAAAGUUUUGUUUGUAAAUUGCUACUUAUCAGGAUGACCAAUGAUGUACCUUUAAUUAUUCAUUUGUGCUAUGCACACAUGCACGCUGGGCCCUGGAACAUAAUUCUAUCUUUUAUGUACAAAAGAGAUCGCACCAAUAAUGCUCUAAAGGAGUACGAUUGGUAGCCGACUAACUUAUAUAAUACACACACAUUACUUUGUUUUUCUAAUGAGUGUAUGUGGAUGCAUAAAAAUAGUUGAGGAGCAAUUGCUAUUCUCUAUUUCUUUAGUGAGUAGUAUAUAUCAUUUUUGCCUACCUCUUGCCUAUUUUGAAUCGAUAGAUGGUAUGCUUUGGAGAGGGAUUAGAUAAGGCCUAUGAGUGAUGAGUCGUAAGCGUGAUAAGCAAGCCCUGCACUGCUAUUUACUAUUAACCGCCAACUGAAUUUCUGAUAAUGGUGUUUCAGGAAUAAUACACUCAAUCCAACUACUACCUUUGGUGUGCUUUUUGGAUGGACUAAUCUGAAGAUGCUGGCUAGCUUGCACCACCAUCAUAUAGUCUAGAAGCAAGGGCAAGGAUUAUAGGGAAAAUAAAGGUACAUUGCUCCCAAUAUAUUUUACUUUCUUGGUGAAGUUUAGUGCUUGCACAUGAAAGUAACACAUCAUUAUGACUACUACUGUCUUCUUUCAGGCAAUUCGCCGUCCGGAGGAAAUGCAUUUUUGUUACUCCCUCUGUUUGAACUGUUGUAGUAGGACUCAGACUUUCAAAGUUAUUAGGCAUGUGGACAUGUUUUUAUUUUAGUUUGUACAGUUUUGUGAUCUUUUGGCUUUAGGUUGGUGCUGCACAGAAAGUGCAGUAAACUCAGGUGAUGCAUGAAAAAAACUGCAGACCUAGCAUAGUUUUUGUAUUUGGAUUUUGUAAUUGUGUGAUGCCCUUAUGUUCAAAUGCUUGUUCUCCAA
rnacentral:lncRNA from 1 species